UAGGGGCGGGAGAGGCCGGGGGUACUCCCGGGGUAGGGGCGAAAUCCUUAUAAUCCCGGGAGGACCACCAGUGGCGAAGGCGCCCGGCUGGAACGCGCCCGACGGUGAGGGGCGAAAGCCGGGGGAGCGAACCGGAUUAGAUACCCGGGUAGUCCCGGCUGUAAACGAUGCGGGCUAGGUGUCGGACGGGCUUAGAGCCCGUCCGGUGCCGCAGGGAAGCCGUUAAGCCCGCCGCCUGGGGAGUACGGCCGCAAGGCUGAAACUUAAAGGAAUUGGCGGGGGAGCACAACAAGGGGUGGAGCCUGCGGCUUAAUUGGAGUCAACGCCGGGAAACUUACCGGGGGCGACAGCAGGAUGACGGCCAGGUUAAAGGCCUUGCCCGACGCGCUGAGAGGAGGUGCACGGCCGUCGCCAGCUCGUGCCGUGAGGUGUCCGGUUAAGUCCGGCAACGAGCGAGACCCCCGCCCCUAGUUGCUACCCGGUCCUUCGGGGCCGGGGCACACUAGGGGGACUGCCGGCGUCUAAGCCGGAGGAAGGUGGGGGCCACGGCAGGUCAGCAUAGGGGCCUAUCCCGUGGGAGGGCCCCGCUGAAGCCCCGAAACCCCCGGGCUGCACGCGGGCUACAAUGGCCGGGACAGCGGGAUCCGACCCCGAAAGGGGGAGGCAAUCCCUUAAACCCGGCCUCAGUUGGGAUCGAGGGCUGUAACUCGCCCUCGUGAACGCGGAAUCCCUAGUAACCGCGCGUCAUCAUCGCGCGGUGAAUACGUCCCUGCUCCUUGUACACACCGCCCGU
rnacentral:rRNA from 1 species